GCCGAUCUUUCGGUGAGGAGAUGUGAAGGAGCAUGACUUAGUUAGUUCCGAAUAAAGAGGGCCUUUACCCUUGCCGAGUCUAGACUGGGCCGGGGCACUGUGGUGAGAGGGCACUGGCUGGUUCAGCUGGGUAUGCUCAACAUCCUAGGUAAACUCAUGUUGGGAGUCCUGGACCUGAGCCUUUUCCUAGUUACGCUUUAGGGUGCGGUAGUCAUGUUCCAGCUCGACGUUCUUGAUAUGAAGGUGUUCAUAUUUCUCGGACAUCUUGGCGACACUGGCGCGGAGUAGCUCCACUUCUGCCUGGAGAUUGACAUCUACCGAAGGUUUCCU
rnacentral:lncRNA from 1 species